CGCUGGGAACAGGAUGCAGAGCGGAGGACCAGCAUGGUGCCCAUGGAGGGAGGCCCUCCCUGGAGACAGCAGACCUUGCCUGUUGAGAGAGAAGGGGCAGCUCUCCUUUAUACAACCGACAGAAGUUGCACUUAAAUGAACUCUGAGCGAAGAAACCUCCAAGAGGGAAAGAGUAAGAGGAGCUGAGGUGAGUACCAGGAUCUACUCUGGAGCUGGGAGCCCAGCGAAGGCCAGCACGGUCUGAGGUAUGAAGCUUUCCUUCCAGCCUCCCUGUCUCUGUGGUCUGACUUGCGGAAAGGAGAAAAGCAAGCAGCCUGAGGGACUGAGAAAAGUGCUGAGGAGAGAUUUAGAGGUGAAGAAAGGUCAAAGAGAUAAGGAAAGAGAAAAAUCUAAGAGAGG
ensembl:lncRNA